rnacentral:rRNA from 1 species
AGCACCGAAUCCUGUAUCUUUGAUAUUAGGAAUUGUGGUGUAAAGGUUGUGUUUUUAAUUGACGAUUAUGCUCCAAAUUCACUUGAUUGUGAUGUUGUCCAGAGAGGGUGUUAGGCCCGUUGGAGUGUAUGAAACUUUUAUUGAUGCUUCCUAUGAGUCGGAUUGUUUGAGAAUGCAGUCCAAAUUGGGUGGUAAACUCCAUCUAAGGCUAAAUACUUGUGUGAGUCCGAUAGCAAACAAGUACCGUGAGGGAAAGUUGAAAAGAACUUUGAAGAGAGAGUUAAAUAGUACGUGAAAUCGCUUAGAGGUAAACGAGUGAAGCCGAAGAUGUUUUAUGGAAUUCAGUUAACUGUGUGUCUUCUUGAAUUUGGCGAAAUCCAACUAGGAAUUGCUAUUUUUGAGUUUUAAUAUACAUGCGGUUGAUGCACUUUCUGUAUAACAGUACUGCGACCGAUAGCGUCAUUUUUCUGUCGUAAUUUUGAAGGUGAUCAUUUUCUCGGAAAUGGUUUUAUAGCUGGUUACAUGGUUAAAUGAUUUAUUGGUGAUUGCGAUUAACGGUUAUUGACUGGUUUAAUGUUGAUGGUUCUUUGAUAGACUAAAAAUAGGCUGUUUUUGAACUAUUGAUGUUUUUCAUGGUUGAUUUGUUAAUUUAAAGUCUGCAGUGUAUGUAGGUUACUUACUCGUCCCGUCUUGAAACACGGACCAAGGAGUUUUAUAUGAUCGCGAGUCAAAGGGCAUUACGAAACCCCACGGCGAAAUUAAUGUAAAGGUUUACUUCGGUAAGCUGUGAUGUGACCUCGUGGAAACACAGAGUGCAACAUCGACCCGUCUAAAGAUGUUCGCAUCUGGGCGGAGUUUGAGCGAUCAUGUAGAGACCCGAAAGAUGGUGAACUAUGCUUGUGCAGGUUGAAGCCAGGGGAAACUCUGGUGGAGGACCGCCGCGGUUCUGACGUGCAAAUCGAUCGUCGGACAUGAGUAUAGGGGCGAAAGACUAAUCGAACC